rnacentral:rRNA from 1 species
UUAAUUGAAGAGUUUGAUCAUGGCUCAGAUUGAACGCUGGCGGCAGGCCUAACACAUGCAAGUCGAGCGGUAACAGAGAGAAGCUUGCUUCUCUGCUGACGAGCGGCGGACGGGUGAGUAAUGCCUGGGAAAUUGCCCUGAUGUGGGGGAUAACCAUUGGAAACGAUGGCUAAUACCGCAUGAUGCCCUUGCUUAUAAUGAGC